UGGAAGUAGGGAGCCAGUGUGAUUGGAAGAUACAUUUCAAUUAAUUCUUCCUCCAACGCUUUAUCUCCUCAGCAUCAGAACCUUUUAUAGUGUUAAAAUUAACAAUUAUGCAGCUGAUGGCUGGCUGAAACCACAAGGGGAUCUGGGAAGGGCCUCAGAUAACACAACAUGUAUAAAUCAUUCAGGAGAACAAUUCAUGAAAGAAAAGUUAUCUGUGUUUUGGAUGACAUUGGAAGAACUAAAUAGGAGUCAAUUUGAGGAAGGGACAUUUUGCUCCAUUGUCCAGCCUAGCUUUUUUUUUUUUAUUAUUAUUGUGUUGUAAUAUACAUUUUCAAAAUUAAUUAACCAUUAACAGCAAGAUAAAUGUUUCUUCUUGUGUUAGGGAAAAGCCGGCCUCCGCGGUGAAAGAUUAUUUCACAGGAGCAGCACUCUUAGAGAAAGCUGUUGCCAGAUAAGGUGGCGACUGUACUUUGAAGAGGAACAAUGCGAAGUGACAGACAAGCCCGUGUUUACCAAACUGAAUAGAGGACUUGCAGGUUUCCACUCACUGAUCGGUUACAUAAGCAGAGUGAAUCAAGGCUGGAGUGCUGUUUCACCAAGCCAUAUCAGUAACAAAGUGGCUCAGCGAUGCUCAAUCCUGGAAGAGUCAAUGUAGUCCUUGAUCACAUGGAGAUAAAAAAGUGUGGUUUGAAAGAUAGAGGCACUGGGAGAAGAAUUCUUUGCUGGAGCUUUUAAAACAGUAACAUCCUUCCAGUUCUGCCCUUUUCCCCUGCUAGAAGUUGCUACAUAUGGAGCAGGCAUGGCAGAAGCAAAAAUGUGUUAGCUCUUCACCUUUGGGAGUUUGAAGACUGAUGCAUUGUAAACUCAAACUGAUGGAUGUUCAUCCCGCUGUAUGAAGCUGGCUGAAGUUGAGUUGCUUCCAGUGCCUGUUUGGUGGAUGAUAACCACAAGCAGACGUAUGAGCAGACGGCUGGCACUGCCGGUGCCCUAAACCACCAUUGCUAAAUGCCACAGAGCUCAUCUGUCAGAGCCCUAAGGUUUUCUGAAUACAGUCCUAGCUCUAAGUCCGGUUCUCACCUCAGCAAGAGAUGCUGCUUAGAUCUUUCAGCUUGGUUUCCCCUGUAUAAACUGUGAUGAUUAAACUUAUUAAUUUAGUUCAUGUAAGGAUUAAUUAAUAAACACAGGCAAAAAUCCAAUUGCAACUUCAUUUCACCAAAAAUGCCGACUUAAGUCCACUGACAUUCUUUGUAAAAUUAUAGUUUUUUCAGCAAAUCUUUUUCAGUUAAAAAGACUAAACACAUUUGUUAAAAUUAGACUGUUUCAUUAAGCAUUUUAUAAAAAGAUGUUUUUAGAUCUGUACGUUACCUAUACUCUUAAUGUAAAUAAGAGCUGAAUACUGUAUGAACCAUC